CCAAGGGCUGUGGAGUGCGGGUGCACGGGCCGGACUGUGGGCAGCUCCACCUGUGGCCCCUGUGCGAGAUCCACUAGGUGAAGCCAGCUGGACUCCUGAGUCUAGUAGGGAUUUGGAGAACCUUUAUGUCUAGCUAAGGGAUUGUGGAUGCACCAAUCAGCACUCUGUAUCUAGCUCAAGGUUUGUGGAUGCACCAAUCAGCACUCUAUAUCUAUCUAAUCUGGUGGGGACUUGGACAAUCUUUAUAUCUAGCUAAGGUAUUGUAAAUACACCAAUCAGCACUCUGUGUCUAGCUCAAUGUUUGUAAACACACCAAUCAGCACCCUGUGUCUAGCUCAAGGUUUGUAAAUGCACCAAUCAGUGCUCUGUGUCUAGCUAAUCUAGGGUGGAUUUGGAGAACUUUUGUGUCUAGCUCAGGGACUGUAAACGCACCAAACAGCACCCUGUCAAAACGGACCAAUCAGCUUUCUGUAAAACAGACCAGUCAGCCCUCUGUAAAAUGGACCAAUCAGCAGGACGUGGGUGGGGCCAGAUGAGGGAAUAAAAGCAGGCUGCCCUCCCUCAGCCAUCAGUGGCAACUUGGUCGGGUCUGCUUCCGCGCUGUGGAGGUUUUGUUUUUUACUCUUUGCAGUAAAUCUUGCUGCUGCUCACUCUUUGGGUCCGCACUGCUUUUGUGAGCUGUAACACUCACGGAGAAGGUCUGCAGGUUCAUUUCUGAGCCAGCGAGACCACCAGCCCGCCAGGAGGAAGACGCUGCCGAACAUCAGAAGGAACAAACUCCAAACACGCCGCCUUUAAGAACUGUAACACCUGGAGGGUCCGCGGCUUCAUGAAGUCGCAGAGACCAAGAACCCACCAAUUCCGGACACAAAUGCAUCAUUGCACUCCAGCCUGGGUGACAGAGUGAAACCCUGUCUCAAAAAUAAGCUUCCAUUGACGACCAGCUUUGGCUGUUCCAACUCACCACAGCCUCUGAAAGACCCAUGCUCUCUUUGGAUUGCUUGGUACCUGCAGCACGUUUCCAUGCCUGGGAGGUGGCUGACCACUGCACCCCAGGGCAUGCUGGAAAGACAGGAGUCCCAAGCCCUCCCUUCUGCUCUACUCCAAGCUUUUCUUCUUGGGUGCAUUGACUCAAGUCAGGGAGAAUAAGAGUAAGUGAACAGUUUACUCUUACUGGAACAUUCCAAUGCUCUUACAGAUAAUAACUAAGUGAAUGAAAACAAAAAGUUCAGGCAUUCACUGGCAAAAUCCAACUCUGAACAGAACGCACGUCAUGGUGAGAGUACUUUGGUCACCACGGGAAACACAACCAACCAAGUGUUUUGCCAAGAGACACAGAUCGGAACGCUCAUCACAACACUGCAUGGCUCAUUCAGUGCAGGUUGCCACAGGUCUACAGUCACAUGGUUAAUGAAAAUCCAAAACAGGACCAACAGGAUGACACAUUUUCUGUUCUUAAUGCUCAUUGCCAUUAUUGCUAGAUCUCACUCUGUAGCCCAGGCUGGAGUGUCGUGGCCAGAUCUCGGCUCAAUGCAGCUUUGACCUCCCCAGCUCAAGUGAUCCUCCCACCUCAGCCUCCCGAGUUGAGUAACUGGGACCACAGCUAUGGUCAGAAAUCAGGACUGUCAUUCAGAUCUCUGGUUCACUUCUUCAUUGAGACGAGUGAUGGUCUUUGAAAGCCAGACGCUGUGGCCUGCUGUCGGGGCUACCCACCUCCACUCCGCCUUGUUGUGUAGGAAUGAGUUACACUUGUCAGGAAGGCUCGUGUCAUUUGACAUGGACUCCAGGAUUGAAAUGAUUUGCUUGAAUGAUGGCCGUUUCUGAAGAAGAGAAAAUAAGUAAUCAUUCGCUGGGACUUAAGAAAGGAGAUAUUUAAGAGAAAACGUAGAUACUACAAGCAUAGUAAGGACCACAAGUCUCAGAAGAGUAGGAAGUGCCCAGCAUCACACAGGAAGCAAGUUACAGAACCAAGGGCUCUGUUCAUAAACUGUUCAACAUCUUUUAUCACAUAAGGGCUCAUAGGUCCAACUAACUGAAAGCCUCAAUUUGUGGGAAGAAGAGAAGCGAGGCUGGGGACACAGCACAAACGGUGUUUACGCCACUGAAGUUCUUUUGAAAUGGAAAGGCUCUGCAUGAAGAAGCGAACAGUUAUGCCACUGCCUCGCCAAUUCCAGUGAGGAGCUCAUCUUCAAUGUAGUGUUCAACGUAGGUGGCAAAACUGUAAUUUUUCCCUUUUUUGAAACUAUUUUUUCUUCUUUUAUUUUUGAAAUUCUCAUCUAAGCGACAGUUUCUUGUACUAUAGUGACUCCUGCUGGGAGAGGUAAGUUGAAGUAGCUGAAGGUCUCUUACAGAUAUAUCAACUCCCGGCCAGUAAAAAAGAUGUCCUAAACGCAGGAGAUGGAGUUAAACUGUUCCCCUACCUUGGACGCAAUGGCUUCUUUCAUCACUAAGAACAAACCCCUAGGUUUUACAAUUGAGACUGAGAAACUAGUACAGUACUUGUACAAUUUUUGAUCUACAGCAUCACGACGUGAAGCUGCAACAAUUAGAUGUAAAGGGUCCAUUCAUGAGGAAUAACAUCACUUUGACCCUUUGUGUUAGCUCCUACUGCUAAUCUUUCCAUAAGCGUGAACUUACUUUCAAUUUGAAGAAGAUGAAAAAGUCUUUUGCAAAACCCCAAUACUGUUUUCUGAUCUAUGUACCUGAAUGGAGAAACGUAGUCUUACCUCGUUUUUUUCCACUACAAGCCAAGCUACUUGUAAUCCUUCCAAACCUUUAAAGGGGACCUCCCUUGUUAGCAUCUCCCAGAGAACCUGGAACAAAAAGAAAAUGGAAUUUUUAUUUUUGUACUUUAUAUUUUUUGGUACAUAUUACUGAGACCUUAUCUAACAUGUAAUUGUAUCUAAUUACCAGACACAACCAACCCCAACUGUAGAAACUUGGGCAAAACAAUUAAGCACACAACUUCUUCUAUAUAUUAAAUACUUUUUACGUUCUUUUUUAUAAAGAAAAAACCUGGUUUAGAAAUUAGGACAUCUAGAGCCAGACUUAAAAUUUUAUGAAACCAAUGGGCCUGACUGAUUUAAUGUCAUCUCAUAAAUUAUCAGAAUUUUUAUGUUCUCACAAAUUAGAUUGUAUAUUUUGUUAGUUAAAACUCGUUCUACCUUCAAUUUCUGAUACAUUUGUCUAGGAAAUAAUAACUGGGAAUUCAACAAUAUUUUAAAAGGUUCAAUAAUGGUCUCAUCAAAAAUAACUGAGCCCCAAAUCCAAAUCACUGGCUAACCUACCUACCCCACAAUGGUAGAUACUUGCAAAAUUGUAAUAUUUAGAUUUUACAAGUUACAUUUUAGAUUUUGGAGAAAUCUCCCGCAAAAUGAGUCGGUCUAAGGGAUCUAUUUUCAUCUACCUACAAUAUAAUCUAUUAUACCAUACUCUAAGAUGUAAUAAACACUUUCUAUACAUAUAAGCUGACUAUGUGAAAGUGAGCUUAUGUGUGUGUUCAUCUUUGUGCAGUUCUUGAGAUCAGUAUGAUUAUUAAAUCUGAGUGGAAUGCCCAAAGAAAGCAAAUUGAUGCUAGGAAUACUGCUGAUUUUGGGUUCUCUUGAAACACUGAGUAAUGGAGAUUUGUAUACUAUGUUACUUUUCCCUGUUUAUACAAAUGGAGUUCAAAAAUGUGAGUCUACCAAUACUCUGUAAAGUGCAAAAACAAUUCUAGUUUUAUCAGUAAUAGUCCUAAUAAUAAAAACCACCACCGCUUAUUGAGUACUUAUUAUAUUCCAGAUGCCCUUUUCAUAUAUUACCAUGAUUAAUAGCAAUCCUACUGGAUACAUCUUACCCUUAUUUUAUAGGUGAGGUAACUAUUUAAAAAGUUAAAAAAAAAAAACUUGCCCAAAGACAGUCAGUUAUCCAGUGACAGAGCCAGACUAUGAACCUGCUGGCUCACCCCAAAGGUCAGGCUCUUGACUCCUUUUAAUGUGAGUGAAGGGAAAGUGACAGUACUUGAGAGAAUGCGACAGGCCCUGUCUUAGGUAUGGCGCCCUGGGAGAAGCAGGAAGAGAACCAGUGGCUUCGACUCAGAUUUCCCUUGUUUUAAAAACAAAAGCUCAUUUCUAAUAGGAACGUAGAUGGAGCACACAUACUCUCUAGUCAAGCAAAUCAUAGAAACCUUUCACUCCAUAUCCACUAUUUCCUCAGCCAGUGCUCAGUCUCAUUUCAACCAUAACACAGUAAAUGAAUUCUGGCUAAUACGAAGAUAAUUAGCAGGAAAAUCAGGGAAAUUGGCAGAUGCUGCUCAAGCAGGAGAAAAAAAAUUCACUGAAGCCUCUUUGGGCUUUUAAUCAAGUGUGUAAGGUACUCCUUUAGAGGAGCUACUGAAUAAUUCUAUUUGAGUCACACAAGUGAUUAGGAAAAGGUAAGGGGCAUCCCACAAGGGGACAAUUCUAGUGAACACCACACGUAAAGGAAGGGUGACAGAACAGGUAUGCAAUCACCCUGACCUACACAGGGAGGGAGGCUGGGCAGCAAGAGGGCUGAGCAGGAAAUGGAGCCCCUCAUUUGGCUGCAAUUACCACUCCACAGGGGGCUAGGGCUGGGGAGGGGAAAAGAUACGAAGGGCAAGUAAAUUAAUGGAUGUGGCAUUCCUAAGGAGAAUGGGAACAGGGAGUUAGCCUCCAAUAAAUCAAACGCUCCAGACCCCCAAACGCACAGAUGAGCAGUGCCUCUUCUGAGUUUGGCCUGCAGGUAUGAUAAACACGCCGUGUACAUGUGUGCACACAUGCACAGACUGAAUUUUGUGAAGUAAAUUGCAAAUCCAAGAGUUUGGGGGGACAACACCAGAAAAACAUUUACGUCAUUCUUGAUUCCAAAAUAUUCUGCUGGAAAAUGUCCAAAAUCUAAUAAAAUUUAAGUUAUAUUUCUCUGAGAGCUCUAACCGUGAAAAAUAAAGAAAAAAAUAAGCCAAUUCCAUUUGACUCCCUCUGUGUCUCUGAAGAGCUACUACAGCUGAGGGAGUUACUUGAUGGAUGUAAAAGUGUCUGAGGUGGGGUCAUUAGCUGCUAUGUCCUGAAGCCCAAAUGAGGUCUUUAGUUUAAUUCCAGUAUCAGCACAUCUCAUGAUUUCCUUUUAUUAAUUCCCUGGAUUUGGGGAUGUAUCAAAAAGCAGGUGGUAUAAGAUAGGACAUCAGCUUUUUUUUUCCACACUAAACAAAAAUAACAUUUGGCAUACAAAAGUAACUUUACUGAGGAAGUCACUUGGAGGUCUAAAAAUAUAUUAAAUGAUGCCUAAAAAUACCAGUUAUGAGGAUUCAGGCCAAAUAUUAUUGUGAUCUUUCACCUUAAAAAUAUUUUCCGACUCAUUUUAUAUUGAGACGUCCUCACAUUUAAACUGUGCUCACAAGGAAAAUUUAUGUUUUCAGUUUACAGAAUAGAAACUUGGAAAAGACUACGUACUUUUUCUGCCCUUUCUUUUCCAAACAAUAGAAAGCCAUUACCUGAGCCCAGCUUGUUCUGGAACAGUGCUCACAGACAAGCCAGGCAGCCAUGCUGUCUCUUAAGCCACUAUGUUUUCAAGGCUGGUUUUGGCUGAGAAGCUUCUAAGAAGGUAAUCCUUUCUGCAUUGUCAUUAGAAUAGCUUUUUUUUUUUUUUUUUUUUUAAAGAGAGGCUAGGCCUUGUGUUCUCAGAAGGCUUAUUCUUUCAGUGAUUUUUGCUUUUCUUUUUUUGUGGAUAACAUACUAAACACUCUUCCAGGUUCAGUCCUCCAAGAGUUCUCAUAAGAGGGUAGAAAAAUCUCAUUUCUCAUAAAAUGGAGGGAAACAAUUGCCUCCCUAGCAAAGUUUACCAGCUUAAGAGCAAGGAUCAUAAAAUCCACUUCUGGCAUUCACAGCACAUUUAUUUUAAGGCAGUACAAGGUUAGUGAGUCUUGCCAUUUGUUAAGAAGCAACAAAGGUUUAUCAACCUGGGGAGGGCUGGUGGUUUUGGGAGUAGUAGGGGCUAAAUUCUUACAGCAGUCUAAAAAAUUAGAAAAACAAAAAGCAAAAAUAUAUUGCAGUUUUUUGGGUGGAUUUUAAAAAAAAAACCUUUUUUUUAAUGGUCUUAUUCAUCUGUAUGUGACUGCUGUGUGUAGAGGGGGUUUCAAUGAACAGAACAGACUCCCAAUGAACAAUGGGAUAUUUAAUGCAAAUAAAUGCUCCUACUGACAAAGGAGUCUUGGCUACUCACCUAUUUUUGAAAAGACAUAAAAAAUUCAAAAUAACCACAUUUUGAAUUAAAAUAGGUAUCAUUUUCCAAGUUUAUGGACCACAAACUUCUAAAACUAACAUGGUCCCAACCUUAACAACUAUCCUCACCUGCUCUUUUCUAUAACAUCUACUUUGAACACAUAAUGCUUUCUUCAUUAAAAAAAUACCUGUGGUUGUUUAAAUAAAAAGUCGCUGGAAAGCAUACCUCGUAUUUUUUCUCUCAUUAAUGGUGUUUAUUUAGAACAAACAGAAUGAGAAGAGGUCAGAAUUAAAUAUUAGGUUGGUGCAAAAGUAAUUGCAGUUUUUGCCAUUACUUUUAAAUGGCAAAACUUCAAUUACUUUUGCAUCAACCUAUACAGUCCUGAGUUCUUGUUUAUAAUUAAAUUAGCAUCUGUACACUUUUCUGAAUGGAAUUCUGCUGACACAACAUUCUGUGAGGCAAACCAGCAUUCCAAGCAAACCUCUGUCUUCAAGACUCACACAGCAGAAGCUGUUUUAAAAUAGACUCACUCACUGAAAUGGCAUUUCUGUUUCCACCAGGUAAGGGAAGGCUCUAGCAUGAAUGCAGAAUUGAUAUUCCACAUCACAUGAUGGGGUGGACAGGUUCUGCAGAGCAACAUCCAGUGUGUAAAUACAGAGCAACACUGGAAAUGCUCAGUGGCUGGUGGUCGAGUUUGUUUCAGUAAGUGAAAUUACUCCAUAGGAUGGUUUGUUAAGCAUUUGUUAAAUCCCUCCAAAACCAAACCAAACUAAGCAAAGGUAGGGUCAGCACACAAGUAGAGAGAAAAGCUAAUCCACAAAGAGACGUGUUCAAGCCCUUCUACUGAAAUGUGGUGCAUAGUUUCUUAAGUGAAAAGAUUUUUAAUAAAAAACACUGAAAAUGUGCAGCUCCAGAAAGGUUGACUCAAACUAUGUUUAAGAAAUGGGGUCAAUGUGGAAUGUAUGAAGAGAUUUUAAAAUGAUACAGGAAAAAAAUCCUAAGCUCUCCAAACAGAAGUCACUCUUAACAUCUUUUAUAGUUUAUGUGUGAAAAGGAAUUUGUGCUUGGCUACUGGUACUAAGAUUGUACUUCAUCUCAGGAAAAGCAGAGGGGGGCAUUUCACACCAAAGCCCUGGCAACUGUAAGGCUUUGAAAGAAGGCAGCAUAAAGUUUGUUUUCAUAUAUGAAAUAAUGUUGAGGCUAAAAGUUCAAUGUAUGUAUAGUUGUGUCUUAAGGUCAAAAAUUUUUGAGAUAAGGAAAUUCAAACACUUGGGGAGAAUUUUAAAAGUAAAAGCACUGUAUGUGUGUGGACUCAUAAGUGCAAAAAUGAACCUCAAAAGUCUUCUAGUUCAUAUAAAUGUGACAAACAAUUUAAAAGCUGUAACAGUCUACAAUAACUAUAACCAACAUACAUAUAUACCUAACACCAACAAACAUGUUUAUAUACAUUUAUAUACACAUGCACAUUAAAGGAGUGGGAGCAGUGGGCUCCUGGUGAGCCACUCUGAACGGUCAAGCCACGUUCCUAAACCACGCUGCUCAUCUUCCCAAGCCCUCUUGUUCCAGGGAGGUGCCCGCAACGAUGGCCUGCUGCAGAAUACAGAGUGGCUUUUUCAUGUUUGAUGGGUUGUAAGAAACAAAAAGCCAACUAUGGCAUCUAUGAAGACUAUGCAACAGAGACUGUAAGUGGCCCUCAAAGCCAAAAAUAUAUAUUAUCUGGUCCUUUCUAGAAAAAGUUUGCUUGUUCCUAUUUCAACAGGACAAAACGAGAGGCCGUUCCCAACAAGCAGGCUAAGAAAAAUUUAAAUUACUCUCAGGUGGUGUGUGCCUCAGUAAAUAAACGUUUGGUUAUAAAUGAAGGAAUGCACUUUCACAAGAGAAAACAAUCUUACAAAGAGUCUUAAAUUGCUACAAAUACCCCAUUUUCAGAAUAUCCCACAGAUGAAUGUAUGAUGGUUAGAAUGUAGUAACAUUUGACAUAGGAGACCAGUUUUAUAAGCUAGUCUCCUCUGAAACUUAUGAGAAAUAUUUGAUCACUGUAAUAGCUUAUAGUCUUCAUUCUUAAGAAACCAGAAUCAAGGGAUAUCAGGUAUUGAUUUUUUUUCUUUUUUUGGAUAUCAGGUAUUAAGCCUGAUGUUACUCUUGCCUUCUGACCUUUAAAAUUCUAGCCUUCGGUCAAAAACAUAUUUCAUUCUUGAAAUGAUUUUUUCAAUAGCUAACAAAAUUAAUCUUUAUUAAUUUGGUAUACAUAGGAUGUGUUAUGAUUUACAAAAAGCUAGUCACUGAAACAAGUCCAAAACCUGUGAAGCCAGCAUUAAAUACCUAGAGACCGAAUAAAGAAAACAAAACAAAACAAAACAGGUCUGACAACGUGAAUCUCCUCUUGUGUCAUUGGCUACCACCUGCAGUAAGAAAACACAGAAGUUCAGGACGAAGAGACAGGCUGAUUUGGACCUAAAACAGGCUGCUUCUUUACCCAUUACUAUGAAAAUGCCCUUUUAGGAAGUAAUAGUAUAAACAGCAGGGCAGUAUAAUAGUAUAAAUAGCAGGGCAGUAUGAGAUGUAAAGACAGGGAAUUCCAAAACUAUUUUGGACUUUUUAAAGAAUACGUAACAUUUUAGGGAAAAGUUUAUCCUCAACAAAAGGCAACAAAUGAAUUCCUUCCUCCAGCAAAGAACUCUCCCACUCCACUUCCUUCUCUCUGAUAAUGCAGGUAUAACCUAUUCCUCAGGAAAUGGCCCAUCUCCAAAUUCCUCCUCCAGGAGCUUCUGCUCCUUAACGGAUUCAUUCCUGUGGUCUCUUCCUUGAGCACUCCACCCCCUCAUUAGUCUAUUCUCUAUGUGGCUCUGCUGUGAUUCUUAUGUAAUGCCUUAGAGUCACGCUUCAGAUAGUCACUGCUACUCUAAGACUGGCAGCAGACAUGGACAAGGUCAUCUGGUAAGUGCUAAGUACAUUUUCUUUUGGACUUUUAGAAACCGAUGAAUCAGUUUAAUAGUUGAGACUCAAAAGUUUCCUGGUAAUUAACUCGCUUGGCAGAUCUAUUGGUGAUUUUAUACUGUUUAAGCAAUCCAUUACAAUGAAGUCCUGUUCCAAAUGAUCCACAUUUCCAUUGAAAUUACAGAGAGAGUCCACAGUCACAUUACCACCCUGCAAAAAAUCAUUCUCACAGGCAAAGCGGAGCCCAACACUAUCUCGGAUUCCAUUUAAUUUGUUUCUUGGAAGUGGUGUUGGUUUCUUCUCAACACAGGACAAAAUAACUCCGAUGAUUAAAAAUGAUUAAACAUUUUGGCAACUAGGAAGCGUUCUCCAAUGGUGCUGCUUUAGGCAUUCCACCAGCAGUACAGUCUCAAAUAAAAAUAAAACCAUGUUAAACUGUAUCUCUCUUCUUUUGAGUGUUUGCUUUUUGUAUUUCCCUUAGUAAACAAGAAAUGAGAAAUGAACUCACCACACCAUAGGAAUAUGUGUCACAAGUUUCUGACACAGGGAGACUCUGGAUAACUUCUGGAGCCAUCCAUGGGAAAGUUCCAACCAAGGACAUGUGUGUUGUAUGGUUAUGGAACCGAGAGGCACCAAAGUCACAGAUCUGAGAAAACAGGAAUCAGUGUCAACUUUCUACUUAUUGGCUAAUUAAGGGAUUAUCAGUUACAAAAAUCUACAUCUGAAAUUAACAAUUUUUUUAAGUAAAAGAAAUAGUCCUACCUUCAAUACUCCAUCAGCAGCUAUAACAACUAAAAAAAGAAAAAAGGAUAAAUUAUGACAAUCAUCUAAUUUGUUUGAGCUGUCUUCUACUGAAAAAAACCAUAAACUUCUAUUUCUGUCUUCAAUAUGGGAUUAUGAAAGGUGAAAUCAAUGUAUUUACAGCAUUGAGGAUUUUGCAAAAGGGGGCUGACAUUAAAACAAAAACUUAAUUCCAUUAGGUACUGAUUAAAAAGGCUUCUGAGACACUUGUUUUAUCCAAAUGCAGUACUGUCCAGUAAGAAAGGCACAAAUUAGUAGUAGUUAGGAGAACCAAAUUUUUACCUGGGUUCUGCCCAUGUACUGCCAAUGUGAUACUGAGGUAGUCAUUAGCUUUACUACUUCAUAUUAUAUAUAUGGUUUCCUCCCAACUGAGUGAUUUUUGUUAAAGGUGGAGAGAAUAUUCAUUCAUUCACUUGUUCAUACAUUCAUUCAUUUAAUAAAUAUUUGCUGAGGCUACUGUGGGUAACGCCAUGUAUAAUGCUGUGGAACAGGACUGUAAGCAAGUCUGCCACUGUCUUUGCUCUCAGGGGGUUUAUAUUCUUAUCAGAGAGACAAUUAAAUAAACAUCUACAACAAACUGGGAUAGAUUCCAUGAUGAGAGAAACAAUACUAUAGAGCCAAAGAACAAUGAUAUCUGUGUCGAGGGCGGUCAGAUGAAGUUUCCUGUAAGAAAUGAUGCUUAUGCUAAAACCUGAAAAACACAGGAGUUAACCAGGAAGAGGAGAGCUGAGGGAGGAAAGUAGUUUCCUAGGCAGAAGAGAGAGCCUAUGCAAAAACUCAGGAGCAGACAAAAAAUGUAUGGCAAUUUUGGAAGGUAGGUGCCAGGUCAAGAAGAGAAAGAGAAAGCCAAUGAACAAUUUUAUGUGGAGGGAUGAAAUGAGCAAAGGUGCAGAGGGGAGACUAUGUCAGAGAAGAAUAGACCUGGAGGCAAGGGCAUCACUUGGCACUCAAGGUUUUGUGGUCCAGGAGACAGAUGAGGACAUCUGUACUAAGGCAGUGGCAAAGGACAGGAGAAAAGUUGACCGAGUCAAAAAAUAUUUAGGAUGUAGGAUCACCUAGGCUUAAUGAAUGGCUGGAUAUUGGGGGAGAAGGAAGCGAACUCAAGGAUAAAAUCAGAUAAAGAAGCAAUACAGAUUAAUGGUUAGAAUAGGAGCUCUGGCUUUAAACUGUAACUACUAUUUAUCUCAUUUCUGGCUUGGGCAAACAGUAUUGCCACUCAGUAAAAGAAAUGCAGGGAUGAUUUUUCGGGGUUAGGGAGAAAAUGAAAAGAUUAAUUUGGACAUAAUAUAUUUUAGUGUCUUAAAAAAUAUCUAUGUGGAUGUGUCUAAUCAGCAGAUAGAAAAAUAGUUUUGAAGUUGAGAUCUGUUUUUGAGUGUUAAUAUGUAAAUAGGGCUUUUAUGGGAGUGCAAGACUCAGAGCAUAAGAGGAGAUGAGUCCAAGGAUAAAGUUCUGAAGAACUGUUUCAGAUGUUUCUUUUGUAAACCGUGCAGUGCCUUGAACAUGAUAGAUGAUCAAUACUUACUAGUUACUGAUGAUUUUACCAAGGAGGGAAAAUGAUCUUUGUAUGAUCUAAUAUUUGAAAAUAGCCUCAGGGUAAACCUGGUACUAUAAGUAAUAAGCUACAAACUUUUACAAAUAGAAAUGUAAAUAUUAUUAAUUUUAUAUUCAGCUUUCUCAUUAUAAGAUUAACAAGUGCUCACUAGAAAAACUGCCAUUAUAAAAAUACAUAACAUAGAAAGUGAAACUCUGGUUACCUUUCCAAGGGAAAAAGAAUUGCUAUAAGUUAGGUCUAUAUUCUUUCAAUAUCAGUGUAUGUGUGUUCCUAUUUAGUAACUAUAAUACAUAUAACUGUAACUUUUUAAAAUGGGGACACUCUCCAUUGUUAUAUAGUCUUCAUAAUGAUAGCAGGGAAAAAUCCAUAAUUUAGUUAAUCAUUCCUCUUUUGUAGAAGAUUUAAGAUAUACUGAAGUCAAAUAACAUAGUUAAAUUGAAAUUCUGAGCAUGAACUGAAAAUUUACAAAUUCAUAAAACUCUGAUCUUUUCUACUACAGCCUAGAUUAUUUCCUAAUGACUUCCUGUUAGCUGACCAUAUAUCAAAAGUGCUUAGUUCCAGGAAGCUUAAGUCUAAGAAGAACCAAAGAAUACAUGAUAACCUAGAAGAGGAAAGGACAAUCAGACAGGGUUAAAUUGGUGGUCCAACCUGGACUACUGAUAAGUGGCAGGUGCUGAUAACUUCCCUCCCCGCCCCCAUCCCUUCACCCCCUGCUAAACACACACACACUCACACACACAAACCUCACAGUCCUGAGGCACGUGCAAGGGUACCUGAUCGAUUCAUUCCCUGGUUCUCUUCCACUACUUGUCAUCACCACCCAUUCUAAGGAUCACACUAUUAGCAUAUACUCGUUUUAAUUAAAGAUCUCCUAAAAAUAGAUAGUUCGCUUCCUCCUUACUGAGAAGGAGCAUUUAGAAAGCAUGUAAAUAAUUAAUUGAUUGGAGGGUAUUCAGAAAAGUGGCAAACUCUGAUGUUUACUUUAGCUAGUGCUAUAAUGCUACUGCCUUUCUCAGAUAACUCUGAAGUGAUGUAACAGAAGAAGCAUUCUGUUACCACUCCUACUUGAAGGUAAUGUCUAAUCCUGCAAGUUAUUUUAAAAUGCUCACCCUCCAAAUUAUAAGAUACAGGGCCAUAAAUAAGCUUUAGAAAGUACAGAAGAAGAGAAAGAAGAAAAAGAGAGCCUUUACUUUCCAAACUUCCAAUCAUGUGGCUCAUUUCUGGGCACUACUCCAGGUAAUACAGGCAUGACUGGCAUCAACAAUUCACACCACGCAAUUCAGAUGCAACAAGAACAAAAUUCAAAAUUGAUAGUGCACAAAGCCACCUAAAAAUAGAAGACUAAAAAUAUAUGACUGCAUACUUUGACACAGCAGUAUCUCUUUUAGAAAAUGAUUCUAGGGAAAUAAUUAGGGAUGUCUUGAAAAAUUUGGCUGAAAUAUUAAGCCCAACAUUUCUUAUCAGAGAAAAAAUGUAAACAAUUCAAAUGUCCACAUUCUGGGCUAUAUUUAUACAGUGAAAUACUAUGCAGCUUCUUUAAAUAAUAUUGAGAUUUUUGUUAUUUAUUGACAGUAGAAAGGCUUCCAUGGUAUCAGCAGUGAGUCCAAUAGUAGGUUACAAAAGAUAUGUAAAAGAAUGAUGCUCAUUUCUACAUGCAAGUGUAUGUAAUUUGUAAUAAAAUAGGUAAAAUAAAAACAUAACUACAUUACCGUU
rnacentral:lncRNA from 1 species